rnacentral:rRNA from 1 species
GAUGAACGCUGGCGGCGUGCCUAAUACAUGCAAGUCGAGCGGACAGACGCGGAGCUUGCUCCUCUCACGUUAGCGGCGGACGUGUGAGUAACGCGUGUAUAACCUACUUAUAAGACUGGGAUAACUUCGGGAAACCGGAGCUAAUACCGUAUAAUAUAUUGAACCGCAGGGUUCAAUGGUGAAAGACGGCUUUUCUGUCACUUAUAGCGGGAUCUGGGCCGCAUUAGCUAGUUGUUGAGGUCACGGCUUACCAAGGCAAGGAUGCGUAGCCGACCUGAGAGGGUGAUCGGCCACACUGGAAGGUGGACACGGUCCAGAGUCCUACGGGAGGCAGCAGUAGGGAAUCUGCCGCAAUGGGCGAGAGCCUGACGCAGCAAGGGCGCGUGAGUGACGAAGGUCUUCGGAGCGUAAAACUCUGUUAUUAGGUAAGAACAAAUGUGGAAGUAACUAUGGACGGCGUGACGGUACCGAAUCAGAAAGCCACGGCUAACUACGUG